UAGGGAAUCUUCCACAAUGGGCGAAAGCCUGAUGGAGCAACGCCGCGUGGGUGAAGAAGGUCUUCGGAUCGUAAAACCCUGUUGUUAGAGAAGAAAGUGCGUGAGAGUAACUGUUCACGUUUCGACGGUAUCUAACCAGAAAGCCACGGCUAACUACGUGCCAGCAGCCGCGGUAAUACGUAGGUGGCAAGCGUUAUCCGGAUUUAUUGGGCGUAAAGGGAACGCAGGCGGUCUUUUAAGUCUGAUGUGAAAGCCUUCGGCUUAACCGGAGUAGUGCAUUGGAAACUGGGAGACUUGAGUGCAGAAGAGGAGAGUGGAACUCCAUGUGUAGCGGUGAAAUGCGUAGAUAUAUGGAAGAACACCAGUGGCGAAAGCGGCUCUCUGGUCUGUAACUGACGCUGAGGUUCGAAAGCGUGGGGUAGCAAACAGGAUUAGAUACC
rnacentral:rRNA from 1 species